AAGGCCAAUUCCCUGAGCUUGGCGUGGUAAGAGAGGACUGUUUUGAAGUGAGCUGGCUCCAGGCCAUGGUGUACUUCUCAGGUUUCGACUUGUUCACGCCUCCUGAAAUAUUGCUGAACCUCACUGUGUUGCCUCGGCCGGCUUUCAAAUCAAAUAAUGACUACACUGAAGUGCCUAUUCCGGUACAAGGGCUAGAAGGUCUGUGGGAUCUGAUGUACAAACUUCCUCCAACGAAAGCGACUUUACAGUUUACACCUUAUGGCGGAAGAAUGGAUGAAAUUUCAGAAUCUGCACUCCCGUUCCCUUAUAGAGCUGGAACCUUGCUUAAGUUCAACAGGUACGCAGAAACGGAUACAGAUGAAGCUGAACGCAUGGAAUGGAUCAAGACUUUAGCAAGAUUUUUGACUCCUUAUGUUACCAAGAAUCCGAGAAGUGCAUAUGUUAAUUAUGUGGACUUGACGAUGGGGAGUAAUAAUCUCAAAGGUGCCACAAGCUACCAGCAGGCGAGUAGAUGGGGGAAACGAUACUUCAAGAAUAAUUUUGACAGAUUGGUUAAAAUUAAAUCGGCUGUGGAUCCUGAUAACUUCUUCAGACAUGAGCAAAGUAUUCCUCCCAUCUCGGUUUGAAAAUAUAAGAACUAGUUAGAAUCAACCACAACAUGUAUGUAUGAUUUUGUUUUUCUGUAACUUGCAUUAAUUAAAAAGCAAUUAUUUUGAUGUUAUAUGUCUCUAAUAUGACUGCAGCGCGCGAAAUUGAAAUCUUUUUAUGAAAUUAAAAAGAUUGUGAAAUUAUGUGAGGGCAAUCAGAAGAUUGAGACCGACAAAGGGUGACGUUGUUGUCCUCCAAAUAUAUUUUAAUUAUGUAUAGUCAAUACUCCUUCCGUCAAUUUAUGGGUCCCUUUUGAAAAAAACUCGCAUAUUAAGAAAAUAGUUGGUUAAAUAUAAUUUUAUCUCAUGUAUCAAUAAUUAGUACUAUAUUGAUAAAGGAGAAUAGAGUUGAGUUCCAAAAAAAUCACAAAAAAUAUAGAGAUUUAGUGCAUUGAGAAAUGAGAAUAAUGUUGAGUUUCAAAAAACUCAUAAUUAAUAUAGAGAAAAUUUGUAUUGAAAAAAGAGUGGGACAAGUAUUUUGAGACAAAUUUUUUUUCUUCAAAAAGGACAUAUAAAUUGAGACGGAGAGAGUAGACUCCAAUUUCUGCUACUCAAUUGACCUUAAUGAUGAAAAUAGGAUAAAAAAUCUAUUUUAACCUGAUGCACGGUCUAGAGCAGCAUAUAAAGAGUUUGGAGAUGUUAAAAGCCUGCCCAAAACAAGAGAAGAAUAUACUGUAAUACUAUCGCAUUUCAAAUGUGUGUUAAUUCUCCAAGGACUUUGUCUCAGUGUUUUUGAUUUUGUUAAAAAAUAUGACAAGAAUUAAAGGAGAAUGUGCAUGAAGAUGAAGACAUGACCUGUACCACACGUAACAAAAGAGUUGCUCAAGUCACUCAGUUUUGAGUUUUGUGAUCACCCGUUCACAAUGUGUUGAAUCGCAGUUACUCAAUUAUUUUGAAGAAACGCCCAAUAAUCGGCCAGCUAGCCACAAGAGUCGAGACUUGCUCAAAGUCUAACAAUUGAUAAUGAUAUUAUUACCUUUUAUGUCAACGAUCGUUCUUGAAAAACAUAUUCUCAUGUCUCUUUCUAAUAAUUGGGCAUAUAGCGUCUUUCUUUCACUCUUAUAUAUAUAGAAGAGACCAUUUAUAUUUAAAAUAGAUGCUAGUUACCACGAAGGACAAAUAUAUAAAUAAAAUAGUUCAGAAACUUUUGAUGAUGUUUAGAAAAGAAGGGCAUAAAUAAAAUUGAUAAUUCUUUUUUUUGAAGAAAAAUUGAUAAUUCUUUUGAUUACAUUUUAUAAGAACUCUAUUGCUAAAAGAUAUUUGCCUGGUCUUUCUCGUCGUACAUACAUUUUUAACAAAACAUUUUCAGAUUUGUAUUAACAACGCUGUUUUUAACUAACAAACACGUAUUUUUGGCUUACAAAAUUUCAUUACAAUUUUUUCUAGAUAAAUUUCUGAUGACUUCUCAAAAAUCAUGAAUCAAAUUAUUUUAUUAUCAUGUGCCUGUUUGGCAAGGCGGGAGAAACAUUUCUUUUUCAAAGAAGUUGGCUUCGGCUUUUUGUGACCCCUUGGUGUAAAAACGUAUAAGCACUUUUUAGAAUUUGCAAAUGAUAGCUUUUGUCUGAGAGGUUCAAUUCUUUUCCAGACAGUUUAAUCAUUUAUAAGCCUUAACUUGUUUUUUAAAUUUUACUUCAUUUUUUUAUAUUAAUCAAGAAAAAUUUAUUUUAAUCUCAUUCAGACGGUCUCAGUAUAUAAACUAUAAUUUGUUCAAUCACCUGACUUGAUCUAUCAUCGUAGGAUAUACAAUUUUAAAUAGAUAUAUAAUUAAGUUAAAAUUUUGGACAUAAUUGAAGACAUGCUACAGUCUAACAAAUUAGCGUGUGCAGUCUGAAGAAAGAAAUGAUAGUUUGGUUUUGCAAGAAACUGUUGCUUGACCUAGCAAAUUAAAAAACAAACAAAUUGUUGCAUGACCUUUUCAAAACUCAAAGAUUUAUUAUGCAUUCAAUGUCGAAGCUGUCAACGGUCUCCCAUUUGUGUAUUAUUAGUACCACUAGGGCCGAAUGAAGCCUAUAAAUAUCAUGCAAUCUCAUCAUUCUAUCCAUAUCCAACACUAUCAACAUUCAAUACCAUCAAAUUCUUUACAAACAAUAUCCAAGAUUAUGAAGAUAGCUGAAAUCACUACUUGUUUUUCUUACAUUCUACUUUUCUUAUCAUUUUCAUCGACUUUUUCAUCAGCUCAAGAUCCUACACAGAGCUUCCUUCAGUGCCUUAAUCAUCAUUCUCGUGACAUCUCCGAGUUUUCCUACACCCUAAAGAAUACUAAUUUCUCCCAAACACUGCUCUACUCCAUUAACAAUUUGCGUUUUGCAAAGCCUGAUACGCCUAAACCUCUGGUCAUCAUCAGGGCAGUGAGUGAAUCCCACAUUCAGUCUGUGAUUUACUGCUCCAAGAAGCAUAAUCUGGACAUGAGAAUUCGGAGCGGGGGUCACAGUUUCGAGGGUCUUUCUUACGUUUCCCCACUCCCAUUCGUCAUACUUGAUCUCGUCAACUUCAAAUCAUUCAUUGCCGAUACUAAAACCAACACUGCAUGGAUUGGCUCCGGCCUCACCAACGGGGAGCUUUAUUACAAGAUUGGCGAGACGAGUGGCACUCUUGGAUUUCCAUCCGGUUUAUUCGCAAAUGUGGGCGUUGGAGGAAUUCUAAGCGGAGGGGGUUACGGCAUGAUGAUGCGAAAACACGGCCUGGCUGCUGAUCACGUCAUCGAUGCUCGCCUCAUCGAUUCAAACGGAAGAAUUCUUGACAGGAAAGCCAUGGGAGAAGAUUGGUUCUGGGCUAUUAGAGGAGGCGGUGGUGGAAGCUUCGGAGUUGUUAUAUCCUGGAAAGUAAGAUUACUUCCAGUUCCUAAGAAAGUGACCGUUUACAAAGUCUACAGAACAAUUGAACAAAAUCUCACUAGCAUUUUCCAUCGCUACCAAUCGGUUGCACCCAAGUUCCCGAAAGAGCUCAUGAUCAAGGCCGAUGGACAAAGCAUUGUCAGCAACAUCAGUCGUCGAGCGGAUAAGAGGACAAUAAUAUUCUUGUUCGAGGCCUUAUACCUAGGCAGCGCGGAUAAGAUGCUCUCCGUGAUGCAAGGCCAAUUCCCUGAGCUUGGCGUGGUAAGAGAGGACUGUUUUGAAGUGAGCUGGCUCCAGGCCAUGGUGUACUUCUCAGGUUUCGACUUGUUCACGCCUCCUGAAAUAUUGCUGAACCUCACUGUUUUGCCUCGGCCUGCUUUCAAAUCAAAUAAUGACUACACUGAAGUGCCGAUUCCGGUACAAGGGCUAGAAGGUCUGUGGGAUCUCAUGUACAAACUUCCUCCAACGAAAGCGAC
rnacentral:lncRNA from 1 species